UUUUUCUUUUCUUUUCUUUUUUUUUUUUUGAGAUGGAGUCUCACUCUUUCACCCAGGCUGGGUGGAGUGCAGUGGCUUGAACUUGGCUCACUGCAACCUCUGCCUUCCUGGCUCAAGUGAUUCUCCUGCCUCAGUCUUCUGAGUAGCUGGGAUUACAGGUGUGCACCACUAUGCCUGGCUAAUUUUUGUAUUUUUAGUAGACAUGGGGUUUCACCAUGUUGCCAGGCUUGUCUCGAACUUCUGUCCUCAGGUCAUCUUCCCACCUCAACCUCCCAAAGUGCUGGGAUUACAGGUGUGAGCCACCGCGCCUGGCCAACUUGGGCUAAUUUUCUUGAUUCUGUGAUAAUGCAUUAUCUCUUUUACACAAACGUGUUCCUUCAAGAUGGACCUUCCUCACAGAGAUUUAGGAUUUCUUCUGCUUGGAUAUUUCGUCUGUCGUGCUACCCCACCUUCUGCUAUGCUGGUCUGUGUUCUGGACUCAGAUUUGCAGCCCAGCUGGAUCAUACCCCAUGGCCCCCUCCUUCCACCAGCUGUGGAGACUUUCCAUUCAGUGUAGUCUCCCUAAAGAUGGAGCAUUCCAGUUUUCCCCUUUCAGUGCUCGUAUUACUAUGGUAACAAACAUACUUUGAUUGCUUUCUGUUUUCUUUAUCUUUCAGCAGGCUUGGGGGCCAAUUACAUAGUCGACACUAUUUAUUUCCCUCAUGUCCUGACCACUCUAGGGGGAUUCUUGCCCUUUGCCUUUUGUUAGGCAUUCAAGGCCCUAUGUAUUUGAGCCUGUUGUAGCUUUUCAGCUGACCCUAUAGUCCUAUUUAUGGUUACUUUCAGCUUCAUCUUGCUGAGGGCCUCACGACCAGGUGAACACAAUGGCAAGUUUUUGUCCUUACUUGUGGUAAGUCUACUUCCCAUACCUUAGUGUAUUUCUUCCUUCUCACUCACUGUCACUCUCAUUUAGAUGUUGAUAUGAUUUGACUGUGUGUCCCCAACCAAAUCUCACCUUGAAUUGUAAUCCCCAUAAUUCCCACGUGUCAAGGGCAGGACCAGGUGGAGGUCAUUGAAUCAUAGGGGCGGUGCCCCCCAAGCUGUUCUCGCGAUAAUGAGUAAGUCUCAUGAGAUCUGAUGAUUUUAUAAGUGUCUGGCAUUUGCCGUGUUUACGCUUCUCUUUCCUGCCACGUUAUGAAGAAGGUGUCUGCUUCCCCUUCCGCCACGAUUGUAAAUUUCCUGAGGCCUUCCCCAGCCAUGAGGAACUGUGAGUCAAUUAAAACUUUUUAUUUUAUAAAUUAAAUUACCCAGUCUUGGGUAUGUUUUUAUUAGCAGUGUGAGAACAGACUAAUACAGAUCCCCUCUCAAAAUCAGUUCUAAGGCCCCUAUCCUCUGUGAAGUCUUUUUUGACUCAGACCAAGGCAAGAUGUUUCUCUUCUGUGAGGUCCUCAUUGAAUGUUAUCCCGAAUGUCUUGUCUCCAGAUAAUUGCUCCUGGAGGCAGUGAUUGUGUUCUGUUCUUAAUCUGCCAAACAUUUCCUGGUGUGUGCUCACUUCCUCAGUGACAUAGGCCCAAGGACAGUUAAGCAAUGCUUGCUUUAUUCACUCAAACAAUUUAAUAGCA
ensembl:lncRNA